UACGGAGGGUGCGAGCGUUGUCCGGAAUCAUUGGGCGUAAAGGGCGCGUAGGUGGCCACUUCAAGCGUGCGGUGAAAGUCGGGGCUCAACCCCUGAUCGGCCGUGCGAACUGGGGGCUGGAGCACUGUAGAGGCAGGCGGAAUUCCGGGUGUGAGCGGUGGAAUGCGUAGAGAUCCGGAAGAACACCGGUGGCGAAGGCGGCCUGCUGGGCAGUUUUGCUGACACUGAGGCGCGACAGCGUGGGGAGCAAACAGG
rnacentral:rRNA from 1 species